rnacentral:rRNA from 1 species
AUUGAACGCUGGCGGCAGGCCUAACACAUGCAAGUCGAACGAGUGGCGGACGGGUGAGUAAUGUCUGGGAAACUGCCCGAUGGAGGGGGAUAACUACUGGAAACGGUAGCUAAUACCGCAUACCAUCGGAUGUGCCCAGCGGGGAUUAGCUAGAAGGUGGGGUAAUGGUUCACCUAGGCGACGCUCCCUAGCUGGUCUGAGAGGAUGACCAGCCACACGGGAACUGAGACACGGUCCAGACUCCUAAGGGAGGCAGCAGUGGGGAAUAUUGCACAAUGGGCGCAAGCCUGAUGCAGCCAUGCCGCGUGUAUGAAGAAGGCCUUAGGGUUGUAAAGGACUUUCAGCGAGGAGGCGUUACGCGCAGAAGAAGCACCGGCUAACUCCGUGCCAGCAGCCGCGGUAAUAC